rnacentral:rRNA from 1 species
GUCCAGACUCCUACGGGAGGCAGCAGUGGGGAAUAUUGCACAAUGGGGGAAGCCCUGAUGCAGCGACGCCGCGUGAGCGAUGAAGUAUUUCGGUAUGUAAAGCUCUAUCAGCAGGGAAGAAAAUGACGGUACCUGACUAAGAAGCCCCGGCUAACUACGUGCCAGCAGCCGCGGUAAUACGUAGGGGGCAAGCGUUAUCCGGAUUUACUGGGUGUAAAGGGAGCGUAGACGGCUGUGCAAGCCAGAUGUGAAAGCCCGGGGCUCAACCCCGGGACUGCAUUUGGAACUGUGUGGCUGGAGUGUCGGAGAGGCAGGCGGAAUUCCUAGUGUAGCGGUGAAAUGCGUAGAUAUUAGGAGGAACACCAGUGGCGAAGGCGGCCUGCUGGACGAUGACUGACGUUGAGGCUCGAAAGCGUGGGGAGCAAACAGGAUUAGAUACCCUUGUAGA